UACGUAGGGGGCAAGCGUUGUCCGGAAUCAUUGGGCGUAAAGAGCGUGUAGGCGGCCCGGUAAGUCCGCUGUGAAAGUCCAGGGCUCAACCCUGGGAUGCCGGUGGAUACUGUCGGGCUAGAGUCCGGAAGAGGCGAGUGGAAUUCCUGGUGUAGCGGUGGAAUGCGCAGAUAUCAGGAGGAACACCGAUGGCGAAGGCAGCUCGCUGGGACGGUACUGACGCUGAGGCGCGAAAGCGUGGGGAGCGAACAGG
rnacentral:rRNA from 1 species